GCCUACGGGGGGCAGCAGUAGGGAAUCUUCCACAAUGGGCGAAAGCCUGAUGGAGCAACGCCGCGUGGGUGAAGAAGGUCUUCGGAUCGUAAAACCCUGUUGUUAGAGAAGAAAGUGCGUGAGAGUAACUGUUCACGUUUCGACGGUAUCUAACCAGAAAGCCACGGCUAACUACGUGCCAGCAGCCGCGGUAAUACGUAGGUGGCAAGCGUUAUCCGGAUUUAUUGGGCGUAAAGGGAACGCAGGCGGUCCUUUAAGUCUGAUGUGAAAGCCUUCGGCUUAAGCUGAGCAGUGCAUUGGAAACU
rnacentral:rRNA from 1 species